CGGAAGCGCGAAAGCAGAUCCCCGCGAUGGAUGAACAUGAAAAGCCAAACAUAUCGAUCACUGUGUGCAGCGCUGGCAGCCCAGCUGUGGUGGCAGCAGCCUUGCAGGCUGUGCUGCAGUCGCACAAUCACACACAAGGCUGGGAGCAGUGUCCCUGCUGCAGGAACCAUCAGGACCACGGAGCUGCCCUGCCCGAGGGGCCCAAACGCCUGUGGCCUCUGCUCCACGACCCCCAGAGCACGUGGUGUGCAAGGUCUCUUCCAGCCAUGGUGAUUCUGUGAAGGCCGUGAAGGCAGAGAUGGUUCAGCAGCUUUAACACCUGAAAUGUUUGAGGCACCCUCAGAGCCCUGCACUUGUGAGGACAAUGCUCCAAGGCUCAGCUCUGCUCUGUGGCAGGACCUGCCUCUCUCCAUCCUGGCCAAGGACCUUAUCCAGCCACUCCAGAGAGCUCCUCAAGGAAAGAGAAAUCAAGAUUUGACAGGAGCCUCCGAAGCGUGACAAGAAAUGAGACCCGCUGAGUCUUUGCCCCGGAAUGAGGCCAAAUUUUUGCACCCAGCUUUUGGUGUGGAUGCAAUGAACUCAUGGCCUGCACUCCUGGGAUGGUUAUUGGGAGAGUGAGAAGAGAGGGGAGUGAACAGUGGCCUUUUUUAACACUUUUUUCCAGCCCCUUCUGUUCCCUGAGCUCCUGCAGUGUGUCAUUAUCUGGGAUUGCAGGCUUUGCCCAGUUUCUGCUCCUGCCCAGGCAGCUCUUGUCUCCAGGACAAUCUGAAUUAGUUGUUUUUAGGAUUUCAUAGGGCUGGAAUAUUGAGACACUUUCAGCUGAAAUCAAGGAGGAGGAGUCUGAUCCUGAUCCCACACAUGUGGCUGGUGGGGGUUUAUGGUGGAGGAAAGGCCCCAAUCUACACAUCUUUGUGCCACAGGUCCAGCAUUUUACCAGCAGAACAUGUCUCUAGUGGGAGCAACUUUGAAGAUCUUUCUUUGUCCUCUAAGGCUAUUUUGUACCUUCUUUAAAAACAUGAAAUUUCCACCAUUUUCACUGUAAAUUCUGGCUUCCUGCCCACUGCUGUUUGUAAUUCCUGCUCUAAUAAUGAAGUGAGGAUUAAAUCAGCCUUUCCAGACCACCACUGCCAGGACAACUGUUCAUCCCUCUCUCAAAUUAUUUCCUGCACCUUGCUGUUCUCCAGGGCUGUUCCCCAGAGCUGGAGGAGGGGUGGAAUCCUCAUUAACCAGCUCUGUGGACACAUGAGGUGGCUGAUCUCCAGCUCUGCUGACUAAAUACAAGCAGGACUGUUGUUUCUUUCCCCAAGGAACAGUCUUAUCAAACAAAUGCCACUUUCUCAAUUAACAUCUCACCACCUGCCCUUACCAAAGGGACAGGCUCCUUGUCCUGUUGGUACUAUGAUGAUAAUGUUGAUAAUGAUGAUAAACACAAUGACAAUAACAACAGCAACAAUAAAA
rnacentral:lncRNA from 1 species